UGACCUCGGAUCAGGUAGGAAUACCCGCUGAACUUAA
rnacentral:rRNA from 75 species